rnacentral:rRNA from 1 species
AGCAGCAUUCACACCGGACUGAACGCACCUGAUCCUGUCCAAUCUCAGAAGCUAAUCAGUCCCAGGCCUGGCUAGUACUUGGAUGGGAGAUCGCCUGGGAAUCCUGGGUGCCGUAG